rnacentral:tRNA from 1 species
GGUUCCGUAGUGUAGUGGUUACACGCUCGCCUCACAUGUGAGAGGCCCAAGGUUCAAGCCCCUGUAGAAUCA